rnacentral:misc_RNA from 1 species
UAUAUUCAUACAUAUAUGUGUGUAUACAGAUGGGCAAUUACAAUUUACAAAUAUUUUCAAAGUAAUAAGGAUUCAUAAACAUAAAUUACAUAGUCCCCUAGCAGCUUCUUCUAAUUAGGACCCCAGCAACUCAAGUACAUAACAGUUCUGAGAGACUCCUCAGCCUGCUUAAGCUUCUGAUCGUUUUUGGCAGCCUUAAAAUCACCAGAAUUAACAGCACCAGAGAAACGCCGGGUCUGCUUUGAAGAAGAAGAAUAAACAGAGUCUUUCAAAGACUUGACAGUUGAAUCACACNNNNNNUGCCCUGUACCACUCGCAUCCCUGCCUGGAACACCACCCUGCUCAUGUAUCUCAAGCUCAUAUGUAACAAAACCUAAAUUCUGUUUUAACACCUAGAUAACG